rnacentral:rRNA from 1 species
UUGAAAGGGAAACGAUUGAAGUCAGUCGUACUGGCGGGCAAUCAGCCUUUUGGGUAUGAUUAUGUGGGGCUUGAGGAGUUAAUCACCUUUAUCUUUGCAUAUUUGUGCACUUUGGGUGUACUUGCUCGUUUGGUAGGUUAACAUCAAUUUUAGUCAUCAUAAAAUGGCUGGAGGAAUGUAGCUUCGAUCUCGUAUUGAAGUGUUAUAGCCUUUGGUAGACGUGAUGAUUGGGAUUGAGGAUUGCAACGGAUACCCUUCGGGCUACCUGUCUGAUCUCUGGAAGUUGCUCUGGUGCUGAAAGCUUGCUUAUGGUAUCAAAGUUGACGUCUAAUAGGUUAGAAUGGGUUAAAUUCGUUAAGGAUGUUGACGUA